UGGGCCUCCAGUGAUUAUUAAACUAAUGGACUCAUUAUCACUCACUUAAUGGGAGGCUAUGACUUAGUUAUCACUAUAACUUAAUCAUUUUUAGGAACCUAAUAAAUUUUGAGAAUUUUAUUAAAGGAUAGAAGAGAAGAAAUUAACCAGCCAAUUUCAAUCCUCUCACUGACUUCACCAAGUCAGAUUAAAAAAGAUUUAAUUAAAGCUGGCAUUAGGAGCACCUAAAUCAGUCACACUGAUUUACCUAAUGACAUGGGUGAGCCCUAAUCACCAAGUGAUCUAAUCAAAACCUAACUCACCAGGUUGGCCAGGUAAGUGAGAUCAGUGGAAGGGAUAUGCCAUUAACUCGUCAG
rnacentral:lncRNA from 1 species